rnacentral:lncRNA from 1 species
CUGGUCUGUUUCAGAAUGAUCUGUGAUUAUUUCGGGGUGCUCAGAACGUGUAUUGAUUUUGACAGAGUUGCCCAUGAUGUAUUGUGGUUGCUUCAUGGUGACCAUGAGGCAAAAUAGUGGUGAACAUUGGUGUUUGGUCGUUUGGAGCUGGCCGCAGUGUAUUGUGGUUGGUUUUUUUUGUUGUUGUGCAAUUUUGAUUAUAUUAGGCUGUAAUCAAAAUCACACAAUGACCAAAAAACAUAACAUAGAAGGAAAAUAUAAAUUUUCCUUCUAUGUUAUACCAUUCUAUAACAUAAAAGGC